GAUACAGAUAAUAGCUAUUUUUCCUUAAAAUAUCAGAAAACUAAAAAUUUUGAUAGUGAUAUAAAUUAUAAUGAUGAUAAUAAUAUAUAUAACUUAUCAAACAACACUGGUAAAAAUAAUCAAAUAAAUGGCAGAUUGAAAUCAACGAAAACAACAAAUAUGAACUUGAAAAAGAGUAAUAAGAAUAAUGAUAGUAAUAACAAUAUGUCAACGAUUGAUAAAUCGGAAAGCAUUACGUAUAAUAAUCAUAAUAACAUACAACAACACGACACAUCGGAUAAUGUUAUUAACUACGUUAGUAAUAAUAAAAACAAUGUAUAUCAUAAAUUAGGAAACCAAUUUGAUGAAUUAGAAACAAAUAGUUAUAAAAAAAAUAAUAAUGACUGUUUUGAUGAUAAUUACCAUGAUAAUUACGAUGAUAAUGUGGAUAAUAAUAAUAAUAAUAAUAAUGACAAUAAUAAUGACAAUAAUAAUAAUAAUAAUAAUAAUAAUAAUAAUAAUAAGGUUAUUACCUGUUCAUCUAAGACGCAUACUUUUAAUAAAAAAAAUGAACAAAAUGUACAAGUAAAAAAUACAGACAUAUUAUCUAAGGUUAAUUUAUAUAAUAAGGACUUAACCAAAACUAAAUAUUUUGAUGGGGAAGAUGACUGGGAUGAUGAAUAUGAUGAAGACGGUAAUUAUGUCACUACUUACAAGAAUACUGGUGUCCAUAAUAAUAACAACAUAAAUAAUAAUGAUUAUACUAGUAAUAGUAGUAUUAAUAGUAGUAGUAACAAAAAUAAUAAAACUGAUUCAUAUUAUUCUAUAAAUUAUACUGAUUAUGAUGACAUAAAAACUAAACCAGCGACAACCAUAACGGAAACUUCUACUUGUACAAAUAAAAAAUUAUAUUUUAUUAAUAAUAAUACAAUUAAACAACAAAAUAAAUCUACUGAAACUAAUAUUGAAGAAGAUAAAUUUAAUAAAUAUAGUAGUACUAUGGGUACUACAACCGAUACAUUUGAUCGCUACGUUGAUACAAAUGUACCUGUUGUAGCUGAUAAUAAUAUAUUAGAAACAAAAAAUACAAAUUUAAAUAACUUAUUAUUACAAAAUAUAUUGAACGAUAAUAAUAAUAGUAGUAGUAGCAAUAACAGUAGUAACAUCAACGUAGUUAUGAACAAUAAUGUAUAUCAUAAUAUGAAUAGUAAAAGUAGUAAUAAUUAUAACACGAACGAUGAUAAUUAUAAUAAAAAAAACAAUUUAUUAAAUACACAUAGUGGAAAUGAAAAAAGAGGUAUGAAAUUUAAUAAUAAGAAUGUGAUAAAUAUAAAUACAUGUAUAAAUAAAAAUAUGAACAUUAUGAAAACUGAUAACAUAAUAUACAUUGAUGAAAUUACUACUACUGCUCAUAUACAAAAGGAAAUCAACAAAUUACAAAUAACUAAAGAAAAUUCCAACAAUAAUAAUCGUAAAAAUAAUAAUGAUAAGGACAUAGUAUAUUACAAUAAAGAACAAUAUUAUAAAAAACAAGUUCACCAAUAUCAACAGAUUGGUGGUAAUAGUAACAGUAGUACUGACAAAGAUACGGUAUAUAAAAAAACAGACGAUAAUAUUAACAAUAUAUUAAGUUGUAACAUUGGUUUGAAUGGAAAUGUAAAUGUUAAUGAUAGUACAACAGAAUAUAUGUCUACAACAGAUAUAACACGUGCUAAUUUAAAUUAUUAUAUACAAAAUGAGAGUGAACUGAAUAACAUUAAUACUAAUGCGAAUAAUGACUAUAAUGACAACUAUAUUAGCAAAUCAGUAGAUUAUACCUGUGAAAGUGCAAGUGCAAGUGCAAGUGCCAGUGCAUGCGUACAGACAGUAACAGAAGCGGAAACAGGAACAGCAACGGGAACAGCAACAGGAACAGCAACAAAAACAACAACAACAACAACAACAAGGACAAGAACAGGGACAGAAACAGGAAAAAGAACAGAAACAAGGACAGGGACAGAAACAAGAAAAAGAACAGGAACAGAAACAGGAACAGAAACAGGAACAGAAACAAUAACAGGGACAGAAACAAGAACAGGAACAGGAACAGGAACAGGAACAGAAACAAAAACAGGAACAGAAACAAAAACAAAAACAGAAACAAGAACAGGAACAGGAACAGGAACAGGAACAGAAACAAGAACAGAAACAAGAACCGGAAUAGGAACAGGAACAGAAACAGAAACAGAAACAAGAACAGGAACAGAAACAAGAAC
ensembl:lncRNA